CCCUGAGUUUUUGGUUGCAAUUCUGACACAACCCUUUCGGGUGGGUGGGACUUCUGAGAAGUCCUCUCCCAUAGGACAGAGGUUUCUCUUGAGUGACAGUUCAGUGACCUGGAAGUGAUGUAGCCUCCAAGACUUUUUUUUUUCUUGGUCAACAACAUGAAUUUUCAGCCCCAAACACAUUAUUUCUGCUGUCGGUGGUGUCUAUUGAGGAUCUAAAGAACCUGUGGAACAUCAGAGACUUUGCAGCUACUGGAGCUAACCUGUGUACUGCUAACGUGCUACAGAGGAAGCAGCAGAAAGCUGAGCUAACAGGCUGUUUUGCAGGUAAUCCUCGGGUGUCAGCAGGAGGAGGUGACCACCUGCAUAACGGAGCACCCUGGUUCUGAGCCAGUUGCACCUUUAAGCAGCUCUUUGGGGAGACGAUGCUCAGCAGACACAUGCCUCCGUGUGGUCAGGUGGUGUUGGUGUGAUCUGGGAGGGCACACUCAUGUCGUCAUCUCCUUGUGCCGUCUCCAGGAUCCUGAUGGGAGUUCUCUGUGCCUAUAAAGCAGGGGUAUUUACUUCUGGGCCUGGAAGGCCGAUAUCCAGCACGUUUUAGUUUUAACUCUGUUUCAACACACCUGAUUUCAGUCAGCAGAUAAUUAACAGGCUUCUGUAGAGCUGCUGCACAGGUAAUUCAACCACUGAUUCAAGUGUGUUGGAGCAGGGAAACAACUAAAACGUGCUGGAUACCAGCUAUAUGGAUGCUGCUAUAAUGCCUUCCUCCCUCCUCUGGAAUUUAAACAUUAGUAUUUUAUUAUGGUUUUCUGAUUUAGUAAAUAAAUCUCAAUUUAUAAAUUUCCUGUUUUGGUGCCUGUCCAUAAAAUCCUGCAUUAGACACUGAAAGCUGAAUGGAUGCCUUUCAUUCACUUUGACAUUCAAUGUAUUUUUAAAGAUACACUUGAAAUUAAUAUCAGCUGUUUAACAGAGUGGUGCAAAAUAAUUGCUAAUGUCAUGAUUUUUGCAAUAACCUGACCUUCAUGCAGAGAAACUCAGGAGACAAAUGAGCUAAAAACUGUUUUUUAAAAUGUUUGACGGAUGACUGAAGAGGUAACUGCUGGAGAUCAGGAACCAGAAGCUCCUGCAAGGAAGAGCAGAGGUUAGUAAGGGAAACAGGUCAGGUUUUUCUUAAGACUGUGCAGGUAGCUUACAGAAACUGAGAAACGCCACGGAGAUGGAGCCACAGGUUUUAGUGUUUAAAGAUCAGAAGGCCCUGAGGUAAAAUUGAGUGUUAGUAAUGACUAAAGAGAGACUUAGAAAAGGAAAAGUUUAGAUACUUACGGUCUGAAGUUGUAGCGCAGACGGGAGACAGCAGAAUGGUGGAGAAACAACCAGAAGUCUGGGAGAAUGACAGCAUGAGUUGCAAGCGGGUGAGCAGAAGGUAGUGGGUAAGCCGACUGCCAGUAUGUUUGUGUGAUCAGGAGCUUCAAGGAAAGAAUUUCCAUAGAUCUGCAUAGAAAAUGAGAACGUAAGUUUGAAAAAACGGCAGAGUCAUGGGCUAGAUAUGGGUUAAAACACUGAUAAGUGACCAGCUACCAGCUUUUAUUCAAAGAUGGGGUUACAGUUGUGUGAGGAUGUGCCUGCCCCAUGAGAAGAGUUUUCAGGUAAGCCUCUCCAUGGUGCUCUGCAAUGGUGACUAGCAAGGCUAAUGAAGAGAUUAAAGGGAACACAAACCCAGGACUCAGAUCCAAACUCCUAACAGCAACACGACGACUCCUCCCACAGGCGGUUGUUCCACGGGAGUACAGUCACACGCAGCUGCCUGAAGUUCAGCAUCAGGAAACCUGUAGGUGAUGUAAUCACACGUGGCUUCUGAGCAUGCAAGUUUAUUCUAGCUGUACAGCGUAAAAUAAUAAUAAAGAUUUAUAUUGUGUUGUGUUGCUCACCUUGCAGGUUCUUUUAAAAUCUUAACCUGUGCCUGCUUACAGCAGGUCUUUCAGGUCUUUUGAACUAGACACAGAGAGGUUCAGGCACAGGUACUUAGUCAGACUCCUGAUAUGGUAGAGCAUCCACCACCACAGACUCCUGAUAUGGUAGAGCAGUGGUUCCCAAACUUAUUUAGCCACGCACCCCCUUCUAUGUCCCGACCAUGUUGACGCACCCCCCACAUCGGGGCAUGGCUUUCUCUCUCUCUCUCCCUCCCUCUAUAUAUAUCAGAUGUCAAGCUAAACAGACAGGGUUAAAAAAAUUCCCCAUCACUUUCAUUUUUUUAAAUAGUAAUUAAUAAACAUUCGAUACCAUUACAAUUUUCUUUGAUUUCAUUUUAAAUAAAUAUUUAGAGUGCACAGGUAGCACAUAAACAAUGCAAUUUAACGGUUUUCUUAAAGUAGGAACGUUUAACCUGUGCGGCCAGAGCGCUCUCCUUCCUUCUGCUCUGCAUAAACCUGAGCUGAUCACCUACUUGUGCGUAAUCAAAUGUCAAUAGGGGACAAGAUAUAGCCAUGAUGUUCACUUUUACCUCAGACCGACGUAUUGCUGUUUUAUGGUGUGGCUGAAUCUGUGAUCCGCUGCCACGCUGACUGGAAUAACAAAUGCUGCAGUAACAUGAGAUGUGGUCAGGUUCAUGAGGAGUCACUGGCUGGAGCGGACCCGACUCAUCCCAGAAGCUAAUAUCUUAAUUUGACCUUGAAUGAAAAAUAACCUCUUAAAAGUUUUUAUCACGGUGGAGGCAGCGUUCAUUUCUGCCUUCAGUCUGACAGCGCGCCGGAGUUAAAGCAGCGUGUGCGCUUAUUGAGUCUGUGUGUGUGUGCGCGCGCGUGCACGGCCGCUCAAGUCACCGCGUCUCGCGCUAUUUAAACCAAUGUUGUAAAAUGACUUCUGCCCAGCCCAGAUGUGCUCACUUGUGCACCCGUGAGCCGUGGUUCAGCCGGUGUCGGUACAGUAUCUGCUCGGGUGCAAGAUCGGCUCGGGGUCCUUCGACUGCCGAUGACGUCAAAGUACGGCAAACCCACUCGGACAAAAUACACUACACAUCUAUACUGUUGGAAAGAAUUUAGCAGUUUCGUUAUUAAAAUAAUGUUUCUUAAGACGUAAGUUUGUGUUUAUAAAGGUAUUUGUAAAAUAAAACACUAUUUAAUUCAUAAUGUUGAACUCCUCUUUGAGCACAUCCCUUGAAGAAUCAUAGGUAUUCGCAACACCUGUGAAAUUGUAUUUGCAGGAAAGAAGUGUGUCCCGUUUAUUUAAGUAUUUUGUGUUUAGCGUUUUUGACGUCUUGUCCAUGAGUAGUUCAGUUACGCUCAUAGCUGCUAGCAUAAACUCUGGAGUUAAAAGUUUUCUGGCUUUACUAAAAUACCUGUCUGUACUUAUUUGAUUGAUGGUAUUUUUACUUUCUAUUAGACUCCAAAUGUAAUCAUUUGGCACGUUUCUAAUUCAUUAUUUGCAAUAAUGUAAUCGGCGAUAUUAGCAUUAGCAUUCCUAUGGGUUUUUACAUGUAUAUUAGCAUUGCGCUAACCACUCGCUGCCAAAUUGCAGCCUUUGAGAUUAUAAAAUCUCCUGGCUUUACUAAAGCCAGGAUCUGUCUGUACUUAUUUGAUUGAUGGUAUUUUUACUUUCUAUUAGACUCCAAAUGUAAUCAUUUGGCACGUUUCUAAUUCAUAAUUUGUAAUAAUGUAAUCGGCGAUAUUAGCAUUAGCAUUCCUAUGGGUUUUUGUAUAUUAGCAUUGCGCUAACCACUCGCUGCCAAAUUGCAGCCUUUGAGAUUAGAAAAUCUCCUUUUGUCACAUCGCAAUUUAAUUGCACAUGCAGUUAAUCGUUCAGCCCUAAUAUACAUGCAGCUCUAUGCUAAAAGUGUAUUUUCAAAGAGGUAAUGAUGGAUUUCUUUGUAAAAGUUGUCCAUCUUUCCAAUAGAAAGAUUUGCCUGGACCAACGUAACGUGAUAACAACGUAAUGUGAUUACGUAAUUCCGUCAGGUUCAUGUUCAGCCAAUCAACUACUUAGACGUCAUCGGCAGUCGACGGACCCCGAGCCGAUCUUGCACCCGAGCAGAUCCUGUACCGACACCGGAACGCGUCUGACCUCUGACAGACGCACUCUGAACUUCAGAUCUUCAGCGCGCUGUCAAUAGCCUGAAUGGGAAUCAUUUCUUGUUAUUUUGUUACAUCCACAAUGUUCUGUGUGUGAGGUUUACAAUGUCAGAACACCUGCAUGAGACAGGUGUUAAUUACAAUCUGCCAGAAUGACUCACCACCUUCAGAUUCCUCCAACACCAUUAAAAAUGAUCAAAUACGGAACAUAUCAGCGUGCGCAGGCCAGAGUGCUGAAGCUCGGCGCAUUGUUAUUAUUAUGAAGUUAGGGCAAAUGUGGAGGACACGCACGCGCGCGACGGAACAUAUCGGCGUGCGCAGGCCAGAGUGCUGAAGCUCGGCGCAUUGUUAUUAUGAAGCUAUGGCACUUGUGGAGGACACGCGCGCGCGCGCGCAAAAAUAUACUUGUUUUCAAUUACAUUUAUUGUGCCCACUUACUUUUUCUUUGGCCCACCCACAAAUGAGUUUCUACGCUAAUGGUGACAUAUGACAGACUUCUCUGAGCUCCGCAGCCAUUACACUUUUCACCUCGCGCACCCCCUAGCGGCAGCUCGCGCACCCCCAGGGGUGCGCGCACCACACUUUGGAAAUCCCUGUGGUAGAGCAUCCACCACCACAGACUCCUGAUAUGCAAGGCCGGAUUAACCAUACGGGCAACUGGGCAAUUGCCCAGGGCCCCACGAACUCUAAAGGGCCCAGGCCCCAGGCCCAGGGCAGCAAGAGCACGAGCAAAAUACUGUAUCUGUAAUCUCCCGCUUUAUAUUAAACUAGGGUGACCAUACGUCCUCUUUUCCCCGGACAUGUCCACUUUUCACACUCUGUGUGUGUGUGUGUGGGGGGGCUUCAUCCAGGAGCAGGGAUCGAAUUAUGGGAGAGCUGGAUGUCCUACAUCCAGGGGAGCUGGAAAAAACGUUUCCUAGCUAUAUUACAUCAUUCAUGGACUCUUGAGCAGAGAGCACAGAGAGCGUCUACUCUCUGAGAGUCACGUGACGUCCGGAGCUCUAUAGCGAUGAUCGUUGGUGUUCAGCAGGGCCGGAGUGGGACACAUUUUCAGCCCUGGAGUUUCAGACCCCAGACCGGCCCACUUAACGAAUUAUUAUUAAAAUCAUGUUAGAACUUUAUAUGUAUAGUCUACAAAAGCACACUACUCGGUAAAGCCUUGUAAUUGUAAAGCAAGAAAGAGUUGAAAGAGUUGAGUUGCUUUACAAGAAAGAGCAACUCUUUCUUGUAAAGCAAGAAAGAGUUGCUUUACAAUGUAGGUUUAUUUGAACAUCAGUGCACAUCUCCAACAUUGUUCUUUACAACACAUUCUCUAACAAUAUAGCAAUCUACAUUCUGUUCAAACAGCUGUUCUGAGAUUUUCAAACCUUUAAAAUGAAAUGACUCAGCACUCCCUUUCACACUUUUUCCAGUUUCCCUAGACUCACCUGCACACAAUUAAAAUAAUCAUCUGUAAAGCUUUGGCACAUUUGAUAUGGAAAACACAUCUUUGUAACCAAUUAAAAUAUUUUCUAUGGCAAAAUAUGCAGGCUUAUUUAAUUUUACUUUCAUUCUAAUAACGAUCUGUUGUGGGCUUUGUGCAUUUACUAACAGAAAUACAUCAGGUCACUACUAUUAUUUGGGCAUUAAAAUUAUUAUAAUGAAACUGAUGUUUGCUUGUUUGCACAUGAGUUGGCUCACCUUCUAUCCCAACAGGAGCAAUACCCUCACUGCUGGCUCCUGGCUCUUCUUCUGACACUACAUUGUGUGAAAAUUGUCACAAUUCAGCAUUCAUUUUCCUUUUUUACAUGCUUUCUGAUCAAUGCUGAAUCAUCUAGCAUUUUAGGACACUUUCAUAUAGAGCCAGGAUAGUUUUCAUCAUAUAAAUUUUAAUAAUAUUCAGUUCACUGACUCAAUAAGUAAUCCUACCUGUACAUGCCCGCUCUGGAAUUGUGGGUUUCUGCCUGGUGCUUAUUAGGCCUACAGGAUCUUGUGUUUGACUCUGACAAGACAGUUUGGUGGCAUCAGUCACAUCAUACUGUAAAUUAUAUUACAUAACGUUAUGUCAUGAUGCCAUAUAAUUCAUUAUUGAUGCUUAAUUAACUUGAAUGGUGAUUUGCAGCCGGUAAAGUUUAACAUCUUGACUUGCCUUACCCGUUUUAUCUUCAUUUGAAGUUAAAGACCGCAAGCUUGUUUGAGAAAAAAAGGUGCUCAUUUUUGCACAUUUAGCUGCAUCCAGGGCCAGAUUAAGACUUCGUUGUACCCUGGGCAACAAUAUUCAAGGGCCCCAUCAUCACGACCCAAGGAUCACCAUAAUAUGGUCACAUACAGAAUAUUUUACUGUAAUAUGCAGUAAAUAUACUCAAUGCUUGAAUGCCUGACAUCACGUAACCCGCUCAGGGUAACCUUUGACCCACCUUGUGUGGACUGACCAAUGAGGAGAGGGUCUUAACUUGAGGCCCUCUCUUCAUUGGUCAGUCUGCAUGAGACUGACUCUCAACUGACGUUUAGUCAUAGGCAGCGAAGCGUCUGUGCAGCACAAAAGCCCGGGUGGACAGUUUGUUUAGUACAGGGUGAUCAUAUUUCCAUUUCCAAACAAGAGGACAGGGGAUCUGUGCCUAUGACGUCACACUAUGGCAACACCACACAAACCACGUUGGGACCCAUUUUCUUGUAAGAACUAAAUUAAUAUCAGAUUCUGCCAAUAAAAGGGCUCUAAAACAAUUCAUAUGUAAAUAUUUAGCAUAUGUAUUGCAAAAUCUCAUUUUUCUGCUUUAGUGCUGCAACAAGGUUUUAAUAAUAAUAAAUUAUUAUAACUUUUGUUUUACUACAGCAUCGGUACGCUUCCUGUGCACAGAUUAUUAAGGGUGCUUGUUUCAGCUGUGAGAUUAGACGAUAGGAUCAAUGAUAAAAUAAGUUGUCACACACUCCAUGGAAACUUUCAGAGAAUCCACAAAUAGUGGCUUUCAAUUUCAUCUGAUAAUAUUAGAACAUGUCAGUAAUGUCUGAGGAGCUUUUAUAAACACUGGAUAACUAACAAUACUGGAGAGGGUAACAAUUACACAGAGGCUUCUGGGGAGCCCAGUUAUGGGGUGGGUGGGGGGGGGGGUCAUUUUGCCUUGGCCCCCAAAAUGUCUUGAAACGGCCCUGGGUGUGUGACUGAGUUUUGAAGGUGAUUUGAAUUGUAUCAGAUGUAUAACUAUGACAUGUGUAUAACUUAUUGUUUUAUACUGGUAAAAACUUGUAGUGGAGAUAAAUCUACCUACAUUUUACUUUACACUUAGUUUUGUUUUCUUGUUUUUAUUGAACUAUUUCCUGUCCUGUCUGUCUCUCGUCUUCCUGCGUCUCCUCUAAACUCUC